CCUCGGGGGGCAGCAGUGGGGAAUAUUGGACAAUGGGCGAAAGCCUGAUCCAGCCAUGCCGCGUGUGUGAAGAAGGCCUUCGGGUUGUAAAGCACUUUCAGUGGGGAAGAAAGCCUUGGGGCUAAUACCCUCGAGGAAGGACAUCACCCACAGAAGAAGCACCGGCUAACUCCGUGCCAGCAGCCGCGGUAAUACGGAGGGUGCGAGCGUUAAUCGGAAUUACUGGGCGUAAAGCGCGCGUAGGCGGUCUGAUAAGCCGGUUGUGAAAGCCCCGGGCUCAACCUGGGAACGGCAUCCGGAACUGUCAGGCUAGAGUGCAGGAGAGGAAGGUAGAAGUCCCGGUGUAGCGGUGAAAUGCGUAGAGAUCGGGAGGAAUACCAGUGGCGAAGGCGGCCUUCUGGACUGACACUGACGCUGAGGUGCGAAAGCGUGGGUAGCAAACAGGAUUAGAUACCCCAGUAGUC
rnacentral:rRNA from 1 species